CCCGGCGCAGUGUGGUCUUGGGUUAAAGCUUGGAGCCGUUUUUGAAGUGGUUUGCUGUUGAUGUUAUGUAUAGACUACAGAGUAUAGAGAACUUUGCACAUAUAUCUCUCCAUGUAAGCCUAUCGAAAAUAACCUUAUUUAUGUGAAAGACAAGUGUUGUGUAAUUUAUAUUAUUGGCAGCAAGCUUUUAUGCGGUGGAGAAAACAACUAACAGUGUUGCUGCAUGGAGAACAGAAAUGACAAUACAUCCUUCAGUUACAGUGUUUAUGACUGGUGUUGUAGCAGCUGUUAGUGUUAAGCGUGUUUCUGGAUAUAUCAUCAUAAUGUGUCUGCUGUUGCUAUUUGGAGAAGAACAGAGCUGACAGCACAUCUAGAGUGUUUGUGACAGUUCAAAUGAUCAAGGUGUACUGCAUGUUGCAUGCAAAGUGAUUGACAGGGAGGAGCAGGGUGCGCCAGUUAGAAGAUGAGGACGGCGUCAGGGUGAGGGAUAUACCACCGAAGCACUUGUUAGCCUGCAGAUUGUUGGGACCUGAAGCUGGAGGUAAUUUUGGCCAAGUGUUUAAUUUGUUAUAGUCAGGUUGCUCUGCUCUCAGUCACUUAGUAGUUUUAUGGAUGUUCUCGUGUUGAUUCCGUCUUCUGUCUGGCUCACAGGAUGUAGACAAGGAACACAAAGCAGAGCUAGUAAGUAGAUCAGACCAUCUUCACUGCAUAAUCUGGUAUCUUUUUCCUACUACUCCCUCCGUCCCGUAAUGUAAGACGCUUUUUGACACUACACUAGUGUGAAAAAACGUCUUACAUUAUGGGACGGAGGGAGUACAUUUUAAGUUUCACUGCGGUAAUUGUCGCUAUUAGCACGAUUCGUUGUGUCGUGAUUCCCAAGUUCCCUUAAUAUAGCAGGUCAAAGUUCAUUCUUUCAUCCUCGAAAUAGAAACGCAGUUUUUGUGAUAUGCCACUGUUCACUUAUUCAGAAAGCAAUUAAGCUGGUACCAGUGUGGUAAGCAAAUCACUAACUUUGCGAUGCUUCCAGUAGACCACAUGCAUGCAUGUUUUGGGUAAUCAAUUUAGCUGCUGUGCUGUAUAAAUAUGGAAAGUGAAAAACAUUGAUAAGUGAAACUACUGUGGCACAUGAUUGUAUACCUGAUCUGAUGUGCUUUUAAACUGCACCUGGGUACUAAACCCAAGUCAAGUAUCCCCGAGUAUUCUCAUGUGCGCACAUAAUAUGCUGGAUCGAUAGCUCAUGGCACAUAAUAUGUUCGUCUUGGAUGAACGUGGUUUGGCACUAGUUAACUACUCCCUCCGUUCGGAAUUACUUGUCUCGAAAAUGGAUGUAGUAGCUACUAAUGCACCUGUUCACACACGAACACGUCAUCGUGUACCCUCGACGCUGGGGGUGAUGCACCGCAGCUCACGUCGAAGGAGACCCGACCGGAAGCACGGUACGCAGGCAAUCCGGCAGGUGCUUUUGAGGACCCGAAACCCCACACGCCCAGGAGGGACCCCGUCUGGACGCGCGGCGGCUAUGGGCUGCCCUAAGUCGACCUGAUCGCCCCUAGGGCCUCGAGGUUCGCCGCCCUGCAAUAAAAAGAACAGACGAAGAACGAGGAAGAAGAUACAAGGGGAGAGAUAAAAGUAGAUGAACACGAAAAAGUAGUAGAUGUAUUUGUUCGAUUGGUGUUGUUCAAUCGGCCAUCACCCCUCAGGUAUAUAAGAGGCGGCUGGACUUCCCGUGCAAGCAAAAGGCUUGGAUUCACGUCCAAAACCCUAGUCAAAUUCGGAUUGGUUUUGUCCGAACUUUCCAAAACUGUUCGGUUUAAACUGGCUGCACCUUGCGGGUAACUUUUGAGGUGGUAAACGACCUCGGAUGGAAACGAACCCAAAAGCAAUCUUGACCGUUUCGACGAGACGAACAACUUUUAUGUUGAACGUUUUUUGAUUAGAGUUCAUCUUGAGGGUCAAAUCGCUUGUGCAACACAGGCUGUUAUUCGCGCUACCCAUCAGACAGGGUGUCUGGUGGGGCGCGCCACUUUUGGCUCGUGAUAGUGCUGUAUUCGGAUGGCUCUAACUUUUGCAUAUGAACUCGGAUUGGAACGAUUCUUAUAUCAAAAUCGAUCGUUUCGACGAGACGAAGACAAUCCAUGUAGAUCAUUUUUCUGUACGAGGCAGUCUUGGGGGCGUAAUGUGUCGAAUAGUGUUCUGAAUACAAAAUCUCAGUAUUUCGAACACAACUUCGGCCUUCGAGAUGAGAUCAGAUGGCGAUGGCCCAAACUUCAAAGAUGUUCGUAUCGACAAUACGAAACUUUUUCAUGUAGAACACUUCUCUAUUUGAGGCUAUUUUAAAUAAGUUCUUGACUGUGCCAAAAUCUGGUGUCAACAGCACCCAACAAUUGCUUAAGUGUCCGUAGUAUAAAAUAGAAAAAUGUUACCUUUUUUAAGCAGAUUAGUAAUCUUCAUCCCCGUUGCCUGCACGGUGCUCUGUCAGAGUAUGUUUUAUCUUCAUGGACGUUGAACCAGAUCCACACACAUACAAAUGCCUGCUUAAUUACUCACUGUAUUUGUUUAGUUAGCCCAUGGCACAGGCUGUCUUCGUCGUCGUCAAUUAGUGAUGCGGUUUGGCACUACUAAUGCACCCAACUGUUGCUUAAGCAGCCCUCUCAGAAACCUUGCAGGAUGAUUCGGUCCGUUUUUUUUUGUUCUAUAUCGUUUUUUGAAAAUGUUCAAAGAGUUAAAGAGGUACGACCAUUUCUUCAUUGACGAUUAACUAGCCUUAAACACCACUGGCCUCUGAAUUUUUGGGUGUGCCGGUGCACCCAGAGUCCCAGAUCCAACCCGUUGCUACUGAUACCUUCCAUCUCGAUUAGCUUCUUCAAAAAGCCAGAUCGAUCUACUUUUCUGAUUGAAUCCUACUGAUAUCUUACAUCUCGAUUAGCUUCUUCAAAAUGCCAGAUCGAUAUACUUUUCUGACUGAAUCCUCUUGACCACAUUUAUUCUGGCCUAGUUGAGUUCUACCACCACCCAUGCACCCUGGUUAUUACCAUCAGUUGAAGUUAAUUUGAUGCGCUGAUUUUUAUUCAAUUAGUUUGCUGUGAUACCUGAUAAUAUUAAGUGUACAGCAGCUCAGGUCUUGGAUGUAAUCACGUAUGCAAUCUGUUUAGUUUUGCUUGACCAUGUUCCUUAAUGUUGAUUGCAAAAUGUUGAUACUUGAUUUCUCUUGGUGGAUAAUUGGGCAUGGGCCUUGUAGUUCAAUUUUUGGUUUCGAUCAGUGGGGUUGGAAAAUAAUGUGAUUGAGCGUCACUGGAAUGAUUAUCUUAGUUCUGGUUGGAAACUGAAUAUCUGUUGUGUCAUUUGUAGUAACAUUACCCACUUGCAAUGCCUUCACUAGUAUGCAUGAUUUGAACAACUAAUUUUGCUGCAGUGCUAUAUACAGAUGACACAAAAUUGAUCACUUAUGAAAAGUUCAGCCAGGAAUGACCAGUCCCCAAUACUUUAACUGGUCUACUCCUUUGGUUCAAUGUUGGCCUCUCUCUCAUUGACCUUGGCUAUGGAAACACAACCUACCUCGUGGUUCGGAAAAAAAAAACUAUGCAGCAUUGUGAAUGAACAUAGUUUGCAGGGUAACUGCAAGAUGGCAUGUCAUUUGAACUAUUAGAGUUGAGGUAGAGUAAACUUUAGUGCCGAGGUGUCAUAUUCCUAGCUCCAAGUCUGUGGUGUCCACCUUGUCCGCUGGGGGUAGAAAAAAAAAGUUUGUUUGCUUCAUCCAUCAGGGACACUAUUUCAUGGGCCUGGGCUGGUGAGGCACAUAGGCCGUAGCAGUAGUUAAGUUUUCCUUUCUCUCUCAAAAAGAAAGACUAAAAAAUUACACAAACAAUAUUUUUCCUUCGCCGCGAGCAGAUCUGGUGCCCCGCCGCCGCCGCAAGAAUUGUCUCCAGCCACCGCGGAGUGGCCACCCAGGGGAGUUCUCUCAUGGAGCCUUAUGAGACAGGAGCAGCGCCGGCGACCUGGCAGAGGAGGAGGAGGGGGAGGGAGGAGGUCAGAAGUGUGGCGGAGCCAGAGGCGGUACAGCGUGCUCGCCCCCAAUUCUCCACGGCAAAAGAGCACGGCACGGUCAGUCGCCAUUUCCCCUUCCGCCGGUGGUCGUUAAAUUAUUUAUCUUUCCUGCCCUCAUCAUCUGUUAAUUUUGACACACACAUGGGGUUUGGAAUUUUCUUGCCCUCAUUUCGAUCCAUGAUACCAACGCACCAGAAUUGCCUGCUCCCAGAACAUUAGUUUCGUUGGGGUCUAGAUCUGCGAGUAAUAAACUAGAUCUAGCUACCAGAUCUCAAGGAAAUUGCAUUGCAUUUCUCACUAGUACUAAUACAUCGCUGCCUAAUUACUCACUGUAUUAGUUUAGUUAGCCCAUGCCGCAGGCUCAUCUUUCUUGUCUCGGAUUUGUGACGCGGUUUGGCACUAGUUAACAAGCAGCCCUUGCAGAAAAAUAAUAAUAAUACUUACUUAAGCAGAUUACUAAUGUCCAUCAUCUCCAUCAUGGACAGAGCAUGGUGCUGUCAACCACAUCUAUACUAGUACAUACUUACCUCACCAGCCAAACAUGCCCCUGCUCUCUCCCGGCACGUUCCGAUGGCCCACUUUUCCUACUUUUCUUGCCUGCCCACGGUACUAAACUAGAUAUUUCUAGCAGAUCUCAAGAAAGGUGCAUCGCAUCUGUCACUAAGUAUCUGCCUAAUUAUUGUGUUAGUUAAUCCAUGACACAGGCUGUCUUUGUCGUCUCGGAUGAAUCACAUGGUUUCGCACUGGUUAACUAGCUACUAAUGCACCCAAAAAUUGCUUAAGCGACCCUCGCAGAAACCUUACAGGAUGAUUUGAUCCCUUUUUUCUGUUCUAUAUCAUUUUUUGAAAAUUUCGAGAGAAAAUGUUCACAAAGUUAAAGAGUUACGACCAUUUUUCAUUGACAAUUAGCUAUCCUUAAACACCACUGGCCUCUGAAUUUUUGGGCGUGCCCCUGCACCUAGAUCCACCCAGUUGCUACUGAUAUCUUCCAUCUCGAUUAGCUUCUUCAAAACGCUAGAUCGAUCUACUUUUCUGACAGAAUCCUCUUGACCACAUUUAUUCUGGCUUUGUUGAGUUCUAACACCACCCCUGCACCCUGCUUAUUACCAUCAGUUAAAGUUAAUUUAAUGCGCCGGUUUUUAUUUGAUUAGUUUGCUGCGACGCCUGAUAAUAUUAAGUGUACGUACAUCAGCUCAAGUCUUGGAUGUAAUCACGUAUGCAAUCUGUUUAGUUUUGCCUGACUUGGCCUGACCAUGUUCGUUAAUGUCGAUUUCGCACUGAUUCGUUGGUUCAUUUUCCAGCUGAGUCUAGCACCUAGAUUGCAAAAUGUUGAUACUUGAUUUCUCUUGGUGGAUAAUUGGGCAUGGGCCUUAUAGUUUAAUUGUUGGUUUCGAUCCAGCGGAACUGGAAUAAUGUUGAUACUUUAAGUUUAAUGUUGGAAAAUAAUGUGAUUCAGCGGCACUGGAAUGAUUAUCUUAGUUCUGGUUGGAAACUGAAUAUCAGUCGUGUCAUUUGUAGAAACAUUACCCACUUGCAAUGCCUCCACUAGGAUGCAUGAUUUCAACAACUAAUUUUGCUGCAGUGCUAUAUGCAUGUAAAACUGAACUAAGCAACGAACCCUGAACUAAACAUGGCCUAAAUGUUGCUAAAUGGCUCAUGGUUCUUGUGCAUUGGAAUAUGUUCAGUUUUUCCUUUUAAUACCCUUCUUGACUCUGAAUAAGCAACGAAACCCUAAACUAAACAUUGUCUCUGUUGUUAUCUUCCAGUUUAUGUUUACACACCUGUACCUGGUUGUAUGUUGUGGGUUUAGUUCUUCAUUGUUAUGUCCGCAAGGCUGGGAGUUUAAUACCUGGUUGUAUCUUCAUUGUUAUGUUCUUUUAAUACCUGCUUGUAUCUUCUUAAGUCCGUGAGGUCAAGUUUGUUCUGACUUAUGAAAAGUAGUAACUUCUUUUCCAGGCUGAGUUUUCUCUUGAUGCUCGGAGUUUAGCUCAAAGAAAUACCGCUCUCAGAAUAAGUGACCCUGUAACAUGUUUACCUCUUGCAGCCAUUCUUUACACGUGCUAGUGCUGGCGGCUAUGAAAAGAGCUGAAACACCAAAUACUCAGCACUCCGAGGGUGAUAGGCAGAGACAUCAGUAUGCUUCAUGGUUGGUAUCAUCAUCUCACCAGGAUUUGUUGCUAGUACUGUAGUAGCUGCCUGCCCAAUUACAAAUUAAUCUGGAUCUAAAUGGCCUGCUGUUCAUGUAUGUUCAACAAGUUCCACAGCUACCACUGCAUUAGCCCCACAUCGGUAUUUUAAAUGCUAUAUAUCCCACCGCUUUACUAUGCCGGCAACGGCAUGGUCGAGGAUGGUGGAGAGGGGGUAUAAGGGGGAUCUAUGCCUCUCAGGAUUACCGGCAAAUGGGGAGGGUGGGGGGAGUGGCAGUUAAUUUCUUAACAACACUUAGUAUGGAGUACUUUCAAGGAAGACAAGGAAAGUAAAUAAUUUCCUACUAGACGAGUCCUUUUCGUACUAUAAACAGAGUAGUAAAUGUAUGUAUUACAAGCUGAAAACUGGAAUUACUGAUUUGCAAAUAUGUAUCAUGUAUUGUAAUAGCGACAAAAAGUGGUUGCUGAACUGACCAAUUAAGGAUAGUAUAACCGCACCUAAUCCCUGCCCUUACAGUGAUUUGCGUUUUUGGCCUUCCGUUGCACAGGCUCUAAUAAUUGUAGAGAGGAAGUAUGGUAUUAGUUGUUAGUUCAUUGCACAGGCUCCUCGUGGUCGUCUCAUUACUGACGCAGUUUGGCACUGGUUAGCUAGCUACUAAUACACCCAACAAUUACUUAAGCAGAUUAGUGCUCCGGAUGGUUCACAUGCUCCAUCAUCAUGGCCAACAUAGUGCUGUGUUGUUUAGAGUAUGUUUAUUUUCAUGCUCCAUCAUCACCCCUCACCAACCAAACACGCUCCUCUCUCUCUCUCCUGGCACGUUUCGAUGGUGCACUUUUCCAGCUUUCGCGCUGCCCCUCGUGAGUGUGACCGUCCUCUUGUGAAUGGUGCAAAGCGGUUUACAGAACAAGCCACGUGAAAAAGGCUGGAAAGCAGCGGCGGAGGUAGAGGGUGGACAGGGUGGGCCAGGGCCCACCCUGGGAUUUUUUGAAUAGCUUUAUAGCAUAGGAAAAAAUGUAAAAAAAUAUUAAGAAAAAUAUAUUUUAUAUGAACAGUUCUAUUGUUGGCCCACCCUGACCCAUUGGGCUAGAUCCGCUACUGCUGGAAAGGUACACCACUGCUUAUCUAUGUCCUCAAUGCCGAAUAUUAGUUAGGUAGUGACUCAUUCCUUCAUAAACAAUGGGAAGCCCCAACACACUUGACUUCACCAGGAUUAUUCUCCAUGUUCCUUUGCCCCUGCAACCCUACACCCUGCUAUUCCCGGGGACGGAGGUGGUGUGUGUGUUUGUUGGGUGGGGGGAGGGGGGCUAUGCCCAACGCCCUCUGCUCACUGCCAUAAUCAACUUACUCAUCCCACUGAACCUCUUUUCUCCCACAUCAUUGACCCACCUGACAGCUCUACUGCCUUCUCUGAACAAACUAACAUGAAAUAUUUACCACAUGAUAAGUCUAAAAUAAUAGGGUAACUAACAUGAAUUAGCGCACAGAAGAUCUUAGGGUGUGUUUAGUUCAGGAACCAAGUGGAAUGGAAUGUCAUGGUUCCAUUCCACUAGAAUGGGUCGGUUCCGUCCUUACGUUUGAUAGAAGGAAUUCAGAGGAAUGGAAUGGUUACAUUUGAGUGUUUGGUUUUUGAGACGGAACGGAAUGGAUUUGUUAUCGCACCACUCAAAUAUUGACAUCAAAUACAAAGAACACACAUAUACAGAGGUAAAAAAUCAUGUAAGUGCAAGAAAUUCAGGAGGUAAAAAACCAGAUGGGAUCUCGCUGAGCGUCCCGGGGACGAUGAGGAGGCGCUGCAGGCGCGUGCAGAGGGGGGGGGGUGCUGUGACCAUGGGCGGGGAGCGAACGCCGNNNNNNNNNNNNNNNNNNNNNNNNNNNNNNNNNNNNNNNNNNNNNNNNNNNNNNNNNNNNNNNNNNNNNNNNNNNNNNNNNNNNNNNNNNNNNNNNNNNNNNNNNNNNNNNNNNNNNNNNNNNNNNNNNNNNNNNNNNNNNNNNNNNNNNNNNNNNNNNNNNNNNNNNNNNNNNNNNNNNNNNNNNNNNNNNNNNNNNNNNNNNNNNNNNNNNNNNNNNNNNNNNNNNNNNNNNNNNNNNNNNNNNNNNNNNNNNNNNNNNNNNNNNNNNNNNNNNNNNNNNNNNNNNNNNNNNNNNNNNNNNNNNNNNNNNNNNNNNNNNNNNNNNNNNNNNNNNNNNNNNNNNNNNNNNNNNNNNNNNNNNNNNNNNNNNNNNNNNNNNNNNNNNNNNNNNNNNNNNNNNNNNNNNNNNNNNNNNNNNNNNNNNNNNNNNNNNNNNNNNNNNNNNNNNNNNNNNNNNNNNNNNNNNNNNNNNNNNNNNNNNNNNNNNNNNNNNNNNNNNNNNNNNNNNNNNNNNNNNNNNNNNNNNNNNNNNNNNNNNNNNNNNNNNNNNNNNNNNNNNNNNNNNNNNNNNNNNNNNNNNNNNNNNNNNNNNNNNNNNNNNNNNNNNNNNNNNNNNNNNNNNNNNNNNNNNNNNNNNNNNNNNNNNNNNNNNNNNNNNNNNNNNNNNNNNNNNNNNNNNNNNNNNNNNNNNNNNNNNNNNNNNNNNNNNNNNNNNNNNNNNNNNNNNNNNNNNNNNNNNNNNNNNNNNNNNNNNNNNNNNNNNNNNNNNNNNNNNNNNNNNNNNNNNNNNNNNNNNNNNNNNNNNNNNNNNNNNNNNNNNNNNNNNNNNNNNNNNNNNNNNNNNNNNNNNNNNNNNNNNNNNNNNNNNNNNNNNNNNNNNNNNNNNNNNNNNNNNNNNNNNNNNNNNNNNNNNNNNNNNNNNNNNNNNNNNNNNNNNNNNNNNNNNNNNNNNNNNNNNNNNNNNNNNNNNNNNNNNNNNNNNNNNNNNNNNNNNNNNNNNNNNNNNNNNNNNNNNNNNNNNNNNNNNNNNNNNNNNNNNNNNNNNNNNNNNNNNNNNNNNNNNNNNNNNNNNNNNNNNNNNNNNNNNNNNNNGCAUCCUACUACCGGGUGUAGUUACACCCAUUUCUCAUAUACUACCAUAGGAUAGUAUAUAUACUACUUUAUCAUUUUUAGUAUGUUCAUAUACUAUAUCUAAGAUACUCCAAAGCGAGUUAUGUGAAAAAUCACCCAGGGUGCAGAUUAAGUUAUUCUUCACCCAAGGUAAUCUUACGAUCGCUUUCUAAAUAAAUUAUGUUUAGAAUAUAAGUAGUUACAUGCAUAUCAAUUCAAUAUGUAAAAUUGGGUAUAAAAAACAAAAACAUAAGUUAUAAGACCAGAAAAAUCACAUUUAAUGUAUGUUUUACACUAUGUUUUUACAUUCGUAAUUUUACGUAACAUAAAAUAUUUUUUAGCCGAAUACAUAUUUUCUUACGUUCUCUUUUUUAUGUAUGAAAUAACAUAAAAUUUACGAAACGUAAAAAUACGGUGCAUUGAUGUCAAAAUAGAGAGGGGGUGAAGAAUAACUAUUUCUCACCCAGGGUGACGAAUAGCGCGAUANNNNNNNNNNNNNNNNNNNNNNNNNNNNNNNNNNNNNNNNNNNNNNNNNNNNNNNNNNNNNNNNNNNNNNNNNNNNNNNNNNNNNNNNNNNNNNNNNNNNNNNNNNNNNNNNNNNNNNNNNNNNNNNNNNNNNNNNNNNNNNNNNNNNNNNNNNNNNNNNNNNNNNNNNNNNNNNNNNNNNNNNNNNNNNNNNNNNNNNNNNNNNNNNNNNNNNNNNNNNNNNNNNNNNNNNNNNNNNNNNNNNNNNNNNAAAUUUUUCCUACUACCGGGUGUAGUUACACCCAUUUUUAGUUUGUACGUUUUAGGUAGUAUCUACCAUACCACAGUGUAUGUAUGCGUAGUAUGUAGUAUGUAAGAAUAUUUAGGUAGUAUAUAUACUAUUUUUUAGGUAGUAUGUACUAUAUUUUUAGCAUACUUCUUUUUACGUACAAAUAUGUACGUAUUUUCACAAAUAUGAUAAAAACAUGGGCUCACAUGCAAUUUUUUCACAUAACUCGCUUUGGAGUAUCUUAGAUAUAGUAUAUGAGCAUACUAAAAAUGAUAAAGUAGUAUAUAUACUACCACGUAGUAGUAUAUGAGAAAUGGAUGUAGCUACACCCGGUAGUAGGAUAUAUAUAUAUAUAUAGGGAAAAUGGGUUGAUAUACCUAGGAGUAUGUACUCCCAUGCCACGUCUCACCCCUUUGCGUGGGCGCUCCAACAUCGGCUGACAUGGCAUGCGGAGAUUAAGUUCAGUUUGAAAGUUUGUUGACCGCUCCAUGGUUAUAGGAUUAAAACUACCUAACCUUAUCUAUAGAAACCUAAUCGAUCAGACUGCAUAGUAGAAAAUACAAUCCCUCCUUGGCGUACGGACGGCGGCGGCAGGAAAACAACGCUGCCUUCGCCUGGUGCGACUUCGGCAACAACGGCGGCGUAGAGAACGGUGUACCUUCCUUGUUCGCCCAUGGAGUCUAUCUGCACAGGUAUGUGUACGUAUUUAAUAUUCCUUCUGAUCUCUGUAUGAAUCGAAUCUAAUGGAGUAUCCCGUGAUUGCAAAUUUUCGUAGGUAGCUUACCAAGCUGACCGCUUGGUAAAUCUACGGUUGGAAUUGUAAUUCAGAUGUGAACGAGACACGUAGCCGGCGGCUCGACGACGUCCUCAUGCAAGCACGACAAGCAGCGGCUGAACCACCAACGUUAAAUAUAGCUAACGGCGGCUCGACGACUGGCGGUGGCAGACCGAGGACAACCUCACGCAGUGUGUACUGCAGUGAUGACUGAUGUGCUUGAAGGAGCACUGCUUGGUGGAUCUCUUGACACAGUAGUUUAUAGUAUAUUAAGUUCAUCUAGUAAUCUUGUGUAUACAUUUAUAAGAAGAUGUAUAAGCAAAGUGCACAUGUGUGCCCCUUCGGUUUUUUCUUUUCUUUUGGACGUAUACUCGUUUAUGUCAAGAUGGAACUUUGGUCUAGACCGCUUCUAUAAUAUAAUUACGAGAUAUUUUAUUUUAGCUUGCAAGAUACUCUCUUGUAAACUCCUUUUUGUGCAAUAACUCCCUUAUAAACUCAACACUAUAUACUUGUGUUAAUAGAUCAAUACAUACUUACUUGCGGAAAAUCAGUAUAUACUCCUUUUUAGGGAAAGUAAGUAUACACCAUUUUAAUUGCCAAGCAGAACAAAGUUCUGAAUUAAGUAGUAUAUAUCUCUACUCUAAAAAAGGCGGUAUAUAACUCUUUUUUGCGAACAAUUUAUACCAUUGAAUAAGUAGUAGUAUGUACGCAAAAGCAGUAUAUACCUCUUUCUAAAAAAAUAAUUAAUUUUCAACUCGGCAAGAGGUUUAUACUAUUACCCUGAAAAAAGAGGAUAUACUAUUUCAUACUACAAUAUACUGCUCUAUUUUUUGUUAUAUACCACAUAGAAAUAUCAGGAAAGACCACGUGAGUAUGCAUCUCAACAAAGGUGCCGUAGUCAUAGCCUCUAGAAGCAGUUGCAUUUAACCAGGGAAUAAAUUAGCCAUUUUAAAUAACUAGCACUGCUAGUUUGUUGCAACCGAUUUUAGAUUAACUCAACCUUUUAACCGAUCCAUGGGUAGGAGUAUGUACUCUUUAUAUAUAUAUCAUCGAAUGUCUCACAGCGAACACCAUUAACUAUUCACACAUACACAUGUAUAUACAUAUACAAUUUCUCCUACAUGUUGCCUUGGUGCCUUCGGAGCACGAUGACAAGUGGUUCAUGGGGGCGGUAGCGGGUAAUAGUAUUCUCCUUUGGGAUCUAUGACCUGGUCGAGCAAAAAUACGGUUAUUUCCUCUUGAACUGCUUGUAUGCGGUCCGAUGAUAGGAGCUUAUCCCGCAACGACCUGAACUGUUAAGAAGGAGAUCAAUAUGCAUGUGUGUUAGUUGUGUGACUAGAUAUGGAUAAUGGUGUGAAUAUAGUGUUCUGACAAAAACGUACCCAGUCCUGUCUAUCAGAUCUGCUCCUUUCGCACGUCAUCAUGCGAAUGUUCUCGCAAACGUAGAUGCACACAGAUUAUUCCCCGGCGCCUGCCUCAGGGCCUUUACGAGAAUAGAAUUGAAUCAGAUAAUGAUUAAUCAAGCAUGAUAAUUAAUUAAUGAUAUUGAAAUAAGAAUUAAAGAGAUGGUAGAGCUAGUUAGUACUACUUAAUUACUUACCUUGGGUCGAUGCUAAAACAACUUUUUUGGCCACGUGCCUGGAGUCACCUUGAUGAAACUUGCCCAUGCCCUGCCCGGCGGCAAAGAAAAUUAAUAAUUAAAGGGGUUAUUAAAUAGUUCAUAUCAGGAACUAAUAGUUAAUAAUGAUUGAAAUUACCUGUUGACUAUCCCCUUCAUGAUGGUGUAGUCUUUAUCUUCUUUAGUUAGUGAGUCCAGUAAUUCAACUUUUCCUUCCUCAACUUUAAUGUCUAACAAGACCCAGUGCCAACUGCAUACGCACACGUUUGCAUGUCUUAAUUAAGCGGGCAUGUGCAUAAAAUUAAUCAACUACCGUAAACCGUAUACACUUAAUUAUUAACAUCUAGCUAGCUAGUAAGCAAAAACAGAAUUUGUAGUACAAGACAGUGUGACUCACGGGAAGUUGUAAGGAAGUAGUAUAUCUUCAUUGGUAUUGAGGCGCUUCAAGAACUCUAGCAUGUUUUCCUCUACUUCAGCUUGACAAUGUUCAAUCUCCCAUAUUUCCUGAUUAAUGGUAUUUGGGUCAAUGAACCCAACGCCAUAGCAUCCAGCUUUUUUCAUUUCAUACAUCUUCAUCCUGCAUAUAAUACCAUAGAAAAAGAAUAUAGUUAGGAUAAUUACAUGUAAUGAUUGAUCAAAAUUAUCACUACAUAACUAGCUUGACACUUAAAUUAUAGAAAGAAAUCACUUACAGACAAUAGCAACUGACAAUAGACUUGUCGAGUGCGUCUUGAUUAAAUAACUGAAAUAAUUCUGGAUACUCAAUCACCAGGGCUUUCUCAUGGUAAUAAUGAUCAUGCUUUACAUUCACCAUGAAGGACUCUUGAUUGGAAACCUUGGUAAUGUUCAUGUACCAUUGAUGCAAUUGAUACAUUCUCGUUGGGAGGUCCUUGACCUUGUCUGGAUGGACCAAAGGUUUGCCCCGGACAUAUUGUCAUGCUAUUUCCGAUUCUUUAAGCGUAGGCAUGGGCUCGAUUUUGAGGAGUUGUCCAACAGAGAUAUUGAGCAUUUGAGCCUGCAUUAUAUGAUCCUCUAUUAUUACCACAUCGCCUUGCUGGGGAACGCUAACGGUUUGCCCACAAUAAUAUUUGGCGCGCGUCCUCUCAUGUGUUGUUGGCACAACAAGCGGGGGGAUCGCUUGCGCCGCCUGUUCUCCCAACUGGGGAACGGUUUUCCCGCAUUUUUUGCCAGCUUCUUGUUGGCUCGAGCUUGAGCUCGCUUCCUUCUGUAGUCGUGCUCAAUGUGCCUUCCUGAUUUGGCGCUCAUAGUCCGAGUCAACAGGCUUGGGAGCUGGUUCUCUAGCCAUACGAAUGAAGUGGUCAAUUACUUUCUCAGGCACUUUCUCCUUUGGCGGCAGUGCCGGUUUCGGUCCGAAAUGGGCGUCCACUUGGGCUUGCACUAUGGCUGUGUUUUGCUCCUUAGUCAUGUCGUAAGGCCUCUGAGGAAGAGGAGCGAGGCUUGGACCAUAUUUAUAUCGCUUGCCUUCGCCUGUACUUCCUGAAGUACCUCGACUCGUACCUCUACGCACCAAAGCUGCGGGGUAUCUCUUCUGCGAUUGCUGAGACGGCGGAGAUGGCUGACGUGGAGUUGGACCAGGAGAAGUGGCCUGACGAUGUGCCGGACUUGAAGCGGGAGGUGUGGCCUGACACGGUGCCGGACUUGCAACCGGAGAAGUGGCAUGACGUUGUGCCGGGCUUGAAACCGGAGGAGUCAGUGCGUUCGGGGACUUGGAGGAGGUGGCAGACUUCGAGGAGGAGUCGUCUCACGCGUUCGUGGACUUGGAGGAGCGGGAGUCUGCUGACUCGGUGGCGGACUUUGAGGAGUCGGCAGACGACGCGGUGUUGGUGGACUUCAAAAGAUGAUGCAAUCCUUUCUCCAUAGGAUGAUACGAUGUAUGGCCUCUCCCAUUGUGCGCUCGUCUUCACCUCCAGGAAUGUCAAGCGUUAGCCCCGAAUAUGGGUCCACCACUUCAUCAACCAUGACACGAGCAUAGCCCUCUGGAAUCGGGAUGCAAUGGUAGGUUGCUUCGGGGGUAACUGGAAAAGCAACGCCGUCCGCCACCUUCAUGGAUAUGUUCUUCAUUUUGGAGUGUAGCUCGCAGUUAGUGUUCUCUAUGAUGUCAUCCAUAGGGUAUUUAUCCAGCAGUGUGUCGCCCGGGGCAGAACCAACGAUGCUUCUCGGCAUGGAUGGGACGGUGCUAUCCAAUGCUGGACGAUCAUCCGCUUGCUGCUGCCGCUGCUGAGACCCCCUUUCCUGGCUAAGUGAGUCGAUCUGCUGUUGCUGCUGCUGGAAUUUGAGUGCCAGGUCCGCGUGCCUUGCUUCUAGGCCUUGAAGGCGUUCUGCGUCCUGCUUCCUCUGCUCCUCCUCCAGCUUCCUUUUCUUCUCCUCCUCCAUCUUCCUUCUUGCACGGCUCCUGUAGUCCUCGUUCCAUUCUGAAAAUCCCUCAUACCAGGGAAUAACGCCCAUUCCUCGUGUUCUUCCCGGGUGUUCAGGAUUUCCCAAGGCGCGCGUAAGCUCGUCGUUCUCUCUGUUGGGCGUGAACACCCCCCUUCGAGCUUCAUCUAUUGCGUCAAUUAACUUUUGUUCGGCUCCUUUUAGACUUGCCUUCUUUGAAACUCCGCCUGUCUUCGGGUCCAACGCUCCCCCAUGCGCAUAGAACCAAGUUCUACACCUGGGGGGCCAGUGCCGGGUAACCGGAGUGACCCCUGCAUCCUCCAUCUCUUGCUCAGACUUAUCCCACUUAGGCAAUCCCACCGCGUAGCCACCUGGACCCAGCCUAUGGAACUGCGUCUUUCUUGCGGCAUUUGCCUUGUUUUUCAUCGACCGUUCCUUAGAUAUUUCUGAAUCCUUGAAGGUCACGAAAUCGUCCCAGUGCUCUCUUUGCUUCUCUAGUGUUCCCGUGAAUUCUGGAGUCUUCCUUUCAUUAGCGAGGUAGUUGGCCCAUACAGUUUUCUUGUGGGUGUUGAAUGCAAUUGCCAUCUUCUUAAGAGCAGCGGCCUUGACUUUGUCCACAUCUGCUUUAGUGAAAUGAUCUGGUAGGGUGAAAUGUUCCAUCAGAGAUUUCACCAGGUCUUCUUUGGCUCUUUUGUCGACCCAAGUAACACCUGGACGUUUAGUCUUUGGCUCUUUCCAUUCUUGAAUGGAGAUAGGGAGUUUGUCCUUCACAAGAACUCCGCACUGACGAGUCCAGUUGUUCGCAAUGUUCUUAGGCGUGAGGGGUUCGCCACUAGGUUUGAUGAAUUCGAUGUGGUACUUUACACCAUCCUUCAACAAUCUGCCCGGGCCUCGCUUUGUCUUGCUGUCUGUAGAAGCAGAUUUGCUCGAUCCAGAGGGCUGAAAGAAGAAAGAUCGAUUUGUUAAUAUAUCUUCAAUAAAAAAACAUGUGAUGAUCACCAUGAUGCAUGCUUAUAUAAAUAUACCUCGCGGGUAGUGUUUGUUAUUUGAAGAUCAGCAUUGUCUGUGUCAUCACAAACAUUGUCUGUGUCAUAAUCAUAAUCAUAGUUCAUGACUUCAUCAGCCCGGUCAUUGAGAUCGAAUAUCUUUUCAUCACCCUCUCCGGUAUUGUUAAGAUAUUGGGAGCCGUCAUCUGCUUCAUUCAGAUCAUCUAGCCUGUGAGGGCUGCAUAUAAUGUCGAACAAUUCCUCUUCUCUCUCUCUGCCGGUAUUGUCCGUCAUAGCUUUUACUUUACUAAUAAUACAGAAGAAAUAUAAAACAAUUUAGUAUUCAAAUUACAAUGCAUGGAUGCAAUUAAUCAAUAAGGAAAAUCUGAAUCUGGAAUACAUCCUCUCGAAUAUAUAAUCUCAAAUACAUCAUCGUCUUAAUAUAUAUAAUCUCUAAUACAUCGUCUCAAAUAUUAUAUAUCGAAUACAUCACUGGCUAGGUACCCUAAUAAAGAUCGAGUACUACAGAAGAAUCUAGGGCGCCACUCGCGGUUCCUGGGGCGCGGGCGGUGCACACCCAAAGAGAAGGAACCAUCACGGGAUCAUAUCUCCGAUCAUCUGCCCAAAGAACCCGCCAAGUAGUGGAGAACCUGACGUCGUCCAUAGCAGCCAUGUAGCGAUGGACGUGCUCAUCUUCCUCCCUGACACGGCGACGCACCACCUCCGGCGGGACCGGCUGCCUCUCCACCGAAUGUGGCCCACGCGAACGCCACCAAAGAAGAUCAGGGUCGACGACGGGACCCGAGGUCGGGUUCCUCACCAAGCGGCGCGCCCCUCCAGGUAGCACCUCCCAGUGCCAGCCCGGCGGAGCCCAGUCCCGGACAUGGGUCCCCUCAAGCAGGACGUCGUCACGAACGGGUCGACGGCGAGGAUGCGGGCCAGGCAUAUGGUCGAGAACAAAUACUAUAUGCCCGCAAAAAGUAACAUUUUUUAAAUGAUUGGAUUGUGAUAACUAAAAUUCUAUAUAUAUGCAAAUUCUAACAAUUUGACAUUAAUCUAAUUCAUCUAACUAAAACUAAUUCUAAAAUUUCCUGAUUAUAUAUAACUAACAUUUCCAUAACAAUUCUAAUAUUUAUAUAACUAAAAAACAGAAAAAUUGCUAAUAUUUCUAUAAAUAUUUCUAUAACUAAAUAACAGAAAACAUUUAUAACAUUUCUAUAAAACUAACAUUUCUAAUAUUUAUAUAACUAAAAAACAGAAUAAUUUCUCACAUUUUUAUAACUAAAAAACAGAAAAAUUUAUAAAAAACAAACUAAUGUGUGUGUGUGUGUAGUGUGUGUGUGUGUGUGUGUUUGUGUGUGUGUGUGUGUGAGUGGACAUGGCGGCCGGGGCGAGCUCACCNNNNNNNNNNNNNNNNNNNNNNNNNNNNNNNNNNNNNNNNNNNNNNNNNNNNNNNNNNNNNNNNNNNNNNNNNNNNNNNNNNNNNNNNNNNNNNNNNNNNNNNNNNNNNNNNNNNNNNNNNNNNNNNNNNNNNNNNNNNNNNNNNNNNNNNNNNNNNNNNNNNNNNNNNNNNNNNNNNNNNNNNNNNNNNNNNNNNNNNNNNNNNNNNNNNNNNNNNNNNNNNNNNNNNNNNNNNNNNNNNNNNNNNNNNNNNNNNNNNNNNNNNNNNNNNNNNNNNNNNNNNNNNNNNNNNNNNNNNNNNNNNNNNNNNNNNNNNNNNNNNNNNNNNNNNNNNNNNNNNNNNNNNNNNNNNNNNNNNNNNNNNNNNNNNNNNNNNNNNNNNNNNNNNNNNNNNNNNNNNNNNNNNNNNNNNNNNNNNNNNNNNNNNNNNNNNNNNNNNNNNNNNNNNNNNNNNNNNNNNNNNNNNNNNNNNNNNNNNNNNNNNNNNNNNNNNNNNNNNNNNNNNNNNNNNNNNNNNNNNNNNNNNNNNNNNNNNNNNNNNNNNNNNNNNNNNNNNNNNNNNNNNNNNNNNNNNNNNNNNNNNNNNNNNNNNNNNNNNNNNNNNNNNNNNNNNNNNNNNNNNNNNNNNNNNNNNNNNNNNNNNNNNNNNNNNNNNNNNNNNNNNNNNNNNNNNNNNNNNNNNGGUACUAAAGGGGGGUCUUUAGUACCGGUUGGAGCCACGACCCGGUACUAAAGGGGGUGCGCUGGCUCCAGGCGGUGCGCAAGUUUAGUCCCACCUCGCUAGUCGAAGGGCUACCGCAUUGGUUUAUAAGCCCCUGUGCGGUAGCUCUCUCGACCUCCUCUCCUUACCUGGCCUACUGGGCCUACUUGUCCUCUUCGCCCAGUGGGCCUACUGGGCCUUUGCGGGCCUGCAUCCUGGCCUAACAAAAGGUUGUGUUGCUAGUCGUAUGCAGGCCGCUUUGGCCCAGUAGGCGGGCUUUUUUUCUUAAUUUUUUUCGCUUUAUUUAUUUUUGUUUUAUUUAUUUUUGAGUUGUUUUUUUGCUGUAUUUAGAGUUUCUUUGUGAAUAUUUUUGCUUUCGGUACAAAAAAUUACAAACUUUCUGUUAGUGCCGGUAGUUUUCAAAUUUGAAUAGUUUAAAUUUUGAAUUAUUUGAAAUUUGUGUGAAUCACUAGUUUGUGAAUAACUUAACUUUGAAAAAAGUUUUUUCAGUGAUUCUUUUUUCUUAUGUUUAAUAUUAGUGUGUUUUAUCAUUAUAUUCAAUUUGGUAAUGCUUAGGUUAUUUAAAAAAUGAAAUGCCUUUGUAACAGUUCAAUUUUCGUCGGAAACCCUGAUACUUCGAAAGAGAUUGUCCAUUUUAUAUACGAAGUGCAUCCAGUUUUUGCCGUAACCCUCUCUACUUUCUUGCACAUGCUAUUUGUAUGAAAUUAUGAUACCAUGCCAACUUUCAACCUUUUCUGAGUUUAUUUGAAAUGCUUUUCAAUUUCAGGGUCAUUUAGCUGGAAAAAAAUCAGUAAAUGCAUGAAAAGAAUUUGUUUGCACAUAAAAUUUCUUCGCGUUUCAAAUAACAAAACACAUGACUACCCUAACUAUUACAGACAUUCCCUCCUAGGUGUGAAACAAAGAAGAAAGUGAUGAUAGUGAAGCCGAUCACAUCCCAGAUCUUUCAGUGUGAAACUUUUUCUUCGCGUGUGUCCCUUUGCGCCGUAACCAUGGAAAAUCUUCAUCAUUUAACAGGAUGCUCGUGUCAAUAUUCACUGUGAAUGGAGCAAUUUCAUCAAACUUUUCAUAAUCUUCUGACAUGUCUGUCUUGUCAUCCACUCCCACGAUGUUUCUUUUUCCUAAAAGAACUAUGUGGCGCUUUGGCUAGUCGUAUGAUCCAUUCACUUCCUUAUCUUUUCUUUUUCUCAGCCUGGAAGACAUGUCUUUCACAUAAAAAACCUGCGCCACAUCAUUGGCUAGGACGAAUGGUUCGUCUGCAUACGCAAGAUUGUUAAGAUCCAAUGUUGUCAUUCCGUACUGCGGGUCUUCCGUUACCCCGCCUCGUGUCAUAUUGACCCAUUCGCACCGAAACAAAGGGACCUUCAAAUCACCUGAUCCAUAGUUAAGUUCCCAUAUGUCCUCUAUGUAACCAUAAUAUGUUUCCUUUCCCGUGUUGGUUGUUGCAUCAAAGCGGACACCACUGUUUUGGUUGGUGCUCUUCUUAUCUUGGGCGAUCGUGUAAAAUGUAUUCUCAUUUAUCUGGUACCCUUUGAAAGUCAUUAUAUUCGAAGAUGGUAACUGGGACAGCGAGUACAUGUCAUUUUGAAUAUCGCCAUCAUUCAGGGCACAUUUCUGCAACCAACCGGCGAAAGUCCUCGUUUGUUCACGUGCAAUCCAGUCGUCAGACUUCUCCGGGUGUUUGGAUUGUAGAAAAUUCUUGUGUUCCUCCAUAUAUGGAGCCACCAAGGCGGAAUUCUGUAGAACUGUGUAGUGUGCUUCAGUGAGAGAAUGCCCGUCCAUACAUAUUAUUUGAUGCCCUCCUAGCGUGCCUUUUCCUUCCAGUCUGCCCUUAUGCCGCGAUUCAGGAACACCAAUCGGCUUAAGGUGAGGAAUGAAGUCAAUACAAAACUCAAUGACCUCCUCAUUUUCAUGGCCCUUCGAGAUGCUUCCUUCUGGCCUAGCACGGUUAUGAACAUAUUUCUUCAAGACUCCCAUGAACCUUUCAAAGGGGAACAUAUUAUGUAGAAAUACAGGACCCAAAACGUUAAUCUCUUCGCAAAAGUGAACUAGGACGUGCGUCAUGAUAUUGAAGAAGGAUGGUGGGAACACCAACUCGAAACUGACAAGACAUUGCACCAAAUCAUUUUGUAACCUUGGUAGAUUUCUGGAUCGAUUACCUUCUGAGAGAUUGCAUUGAGGAAUGCACAUAGCUUCACAAUGGUUAAUCGAACGUUUUUCGGUAGAAGCCCCCUCAGUGCAACCGGAAGGAGUUGCGUCAUAAUCACGUGGCAGUCAUGAGACUUUAGGUUCUGGAACUUUUUCUCUGCCAUAUUUAUUAUUCCCUUUAUAUUCGACGAGAAGCCAGACGGUACCUUCAUGCUGAGCAGGCAUUCGAAGAAGAUUUCCUUCUCUUCUUUGGUAAGAGCGUAGCUGGCCUGACCCUGAUGUAUGCCGUCUUUUCCGUGGAUACGUUGCUGGUCCUCCCGUGCCUCUGGUGUAUCUUUUGUCUUUCCAUACACGCCCAAAAAGCCAAGCAGGGUCACGCAAAGAUUCUUCGUCACGUGCGUCACGUCGAUUGCGGAGCGGACCUCUAGGUCUUUCCAAAAUGGUGUUGGGGAACGUAGUAAUUUCAAAAAAUUUCCUACGCACACACAAGAUCAUGGUGAUGAUAUAGCAACGAGAGGGGAGAGUGUAUGUCCACGUACCCUCGUAGACCGUAAGUGGAAGCGUUAGCACAACGCGGUUGAUGUAGUCAUACAUCUUCACGAUCCGACCGAUCCAAGCACCGAACGUACGGAGCCUCCGAGUUCAGCACACGUUCAGCUCGAUGACGUCCCUCGAACUCCGAUCCAGCCGAGUGUCGAGGGAGAGUUCCGUCAGCACGACGGCAUGGUGACGAUCUUGAUGUUCUACCGGCGCAGCGCUUCGCCUAAGCUUCGCGACGAUAUGACCGAGGUGGAAUAUGGUGGAAGGGGGCACCGCACACGGCUAAGGAACGAUCCGUAGAUCAACUUGUGUGUCUAUGGGGUGCCCCUCGCCCCGUAUAUAAAGGAGCAAGGGGAGGAGGCGGCCGGCCAAGAGGAGGGCGCGCCAAGGGGGGAAGUCCUACUCCCACCGGGAGUAGGACUCCCCUUUUCCAAGUUGGAGUAGGAGAGAAGGAGGAAAGAGGGGAGGAGGGGAAGGAAAGGGGGGGCGCCGCCCCCCUUCCCUUGUCCUAUUCGGACUAGGAGGGGGAGGGGCGCGCGGCCCCCUCCUUGCUCCUUCCUCUUCUCCCUCUUGGCACAUGUAGGCCCAUUAACCUCCCGGGGGGUUCGGGUAACCUCCCGUUACUCCGGUAAAAUGCCGAUUUUACCCGGAACCAUUCCGAUGUCCAAAUAUAGGCUUCCAAUAUAUCAACCUUUAUGUAUCGACCAUUCCGAGACUCCUCGUCGUGUCCGUGAUCAUAUCCGGGACUCCGAACAAACUUCGAUACAUCAAAACUUAUAAACUCAUAAUAAAACUGUCAUCGAAACGUUAAGCGUGCGGACCCUACGGGUUCGAGAACUAUGUAGACAUGACCUAAAACCAUUCUCGGUCAAUAACCAAUAGCGGGACCUGGAUGCCCAUAUUGGAUCCUACAUAUUCUACGAAGAUCUUUAUCGGUCAAACCGCAUAACAACAUACUUUGUUCCCUUUGUCAUCGGUAUGUUACUUGCCCGAGAUUUGAUCGUCGGUAUCCAAUACCUAGUUCAAUCUCGUUACCGGCAAGUCUCUUUACUCGUUCCGUAAUACGUCAUCUCAUAACUAACUCAUUAGUUAUAUGCUUGCAAGGCUUAGGUGAUGAGUAUUACCGAGAGGGCCCAGAGAUACCUCUCCGACAAUCGGAGUGACAAAUCCUAAUCUCGAAUUAUGCCAACCCAACAUGUACCUUCGGAAACACCUAUAGAGCACCUUUAUAAUCACCCAGUUACGUUGUCACGUUUGGUAGCACACAAAGUGUUCUUCCGGUAAACGGGAGUUGCACAAUCUCAUAGUUGCAGGAACUUUGUAUAUGUCAUGAAGAAAGCAAUAGCAGUAUACUAAACGAUCAAGUGCUAGGCUAACAGAAUGGGUCAUGUCAAUCACAUCAUUCUCCUAAUGAUGUGAUCCCAUUAAUCAAAUGACAACACAUGUCUAUGGUCAGGAAACAUAACCAUCUUUGAUUAAUGAGCUAGUCAAGUAGAGGCAUACUAGUGACUAUAUGUUUGUCUAUGUAUUCACACAUGUAUCAUGUUUCCGGUUAAUACAAUUCUAGCAUGAAUAAUAAACAUUUAUCAUGAUAUGAGGAAAUAAAUAAUAACUUUAUUAUUGCCUCUAGGGCAUAUUUCCUUCAUAUGGCAGGUCUCAAAAUAUAGAUUUCUUCUUCCACAUGGGUGCGCGUCCGUCAGCGUCCUUCGGAACAGUUUUUCCGCCAGGACCCUUUCCAAAGAUUACCUCCAAAUCCUUUACCAUAUCAUGUACAUCAGCACCAGUACGGUGGCGAGGCUUCGUCCGGUGAUCCGCCUCACCUUUGAAAUGCUUGCCUUUCUUUCUUACGGGAUGCCUUGUCGGAAGAAAUCGACGAUGUCCCAGGUACACAUUCUUCCUACAACUAUCCAAAUAUAUACUUUCGGUAUCAUCCAAACAGUGCGUGCAUCCAAGGUAUCCCUUGUUUGUCUGUCCUGAAAGGUCACUGAGACAUGCCAAUCAUUGAUGGUCACGAACAGCAACGCCUUUAGGUCAAAUUCUUCCUGUUCGUGCUCAUCCCACGCACGUACACCUGUUCCAUUCCACAGCUGUAAUAGUUCUUCAACUAAUGGCCUUAGGUACACAUCAAUGUCAUUGUCGGGUUGCUUAGGGCCUUGGAUGAGCACUGGCAUCAUAAUGAACUUCCGCUUCAUGCACAACCAAGGAGGAAGGUUAUACAAACAUAGAGUCACAGACCACGUGCUAUGGUUGCUGCUCUGCUCCCCAAAAGGAUUAAUGCCAUCUGCGCUUAGACCAAACCAUACGUUCCUUGGGUCACCUGCAAACUCCUCCUAGUACUUUCUCUUGAUUUUUCUCCACUGCGAACCGUCAGUGGGUACUCUCAACUUUCCGUCUUUCUUACGAUCUUCUGCGUGCCACCGCAUCGCCUUCGCAUGCUCUUUGUUUUGGAACAGCCGUUUCAACCGUGGUAUUAUAGGAGCAUACCACAUCACCUUGGCAGGAAUCUUCUUCCUGGGGCGCUCGCCCUCGACAUCACCAGGGUCAUCGCGACUGAUCUUAUAACGCAAUGCACCGCAUACCGGGCAAGCGUUCAAAUCCUCGUACUCACCGCGGUAGAGGAUGCAGUCAUUAGGGCAUGCAUGUAUCUUUUGCACCUCUAACCCCAGAGGGCAGACAACCUUCUUUGCUUCAUACGUACUCUCGGACAAUUCGUUGUCCUUUGGAAGCAUAUUCUUUAUCAUUACCAGCAACUUUCCAAAUCCCUUAUCAGAUACACCAUUCUCUGCCUUCCAUUGCAACAAUUCAAGUGUGGUGCCCAACUUUUUUUUGUCAGCUUCACAAUUCGGGUACAACAAUUUCUUGUGAUCCUCUAACAUGCGCUGCAACUUCAUCCUCUCCAGAUCACUUGCGCAGUUUCUCUUUGCAUCGGCAAUGGCCCGACCUAGAUCAUCAGCGGGCUCAUCUGAUGCCUCUUCUUCAGCUUCUUCACGCAUUGCCGGCUCAGCUUCUUCAUCCAUUGUUGUAUCAUCGUAUUCAGGGAACCCAUGGCCAGGAUAGCCGUCAUCGUCCUCUUCUUCUUCAUUGUCUUCCAUCAUAACCCCUAUUUCUCCGUGCUUGGUCCAAACAUUAUAGUGGGGCAUGAAACCGGACUUAAAUAGGUGGAUGUGAAUGGUUUUUUCUGUAGAGUAACUGUGACCAUUCUUACAGCCAGCACAUGGACAAGGCAUAAAACCAUCCGCCCGCUUGUUUGCCUCAGCGGCCCGCAGAAAAGUAUGCACGCCAUUAAUGAACUCAGGAGAGCAUCGGUCAUCAUACAUCCAUUGUCGGCUCAUCUUCAUUACAUAACACCAAAUAGACCAAAUUAAUACAAGUUCAUACAUAAAGUUCAUAUACAGCACUUAAUUAAAUGCAACAUACAAAUAACUCUCUAACCAAAGAAUUUGAAUGCAACAACAAAUGCGAUGAAGAUCGCAACUAAGGUAACAAUUGAUCCAACAGCAUAAUGAUACCAAGCCACACUAUCAAUGGCAUAUUUUCUAAUCUUUCUAAUCUUCAACCUCAUUUUCUCCAUCUUGAUCUUGUGAUCAUCGACGACAUCGGCAACAUGCAACUCCAAUUCCAUCUUCCCCCCCUCAAUUCUUUUCAAUUUUUCUUUCAAAUACUCGUUUUCUCUUUCAACUAAAUUUAACCUCUCGACAAUAGGGUCGGUUGGAAUUUCCGGUUCACAUACCUCCUAGAUAAAAAUAUCUAUGUCAACUUGAUGGGCAUAAUUUGUCAUAAACACGAAAUGCAACAACUAGUUUUAAAAGAGAAUAUACCACAUCCGAAUCAUAAUAAGGACGAGGGCCGACGGGGACGGGUAUCAAAACCAUGGCACUAUGUAUAACAAACAACGUACGGGUAAGAUAAUUAUACGAGUAACUAUAUAUCCAAAUCACACAAACAUCAAUUUGGUAAUGUAAAACAUUCAUGAACAAGAGCCUCACCACAAGGUGGUGCCGGCGACGGGCGGUGCGGGCGAUCGACGGUGGUUACGACGGAGAUUUAGAAGGCACUAAGUAAACCACACCUACAUAUGCAAACUAAGUGUUAUUUUUGACCUCAAAUUGCAUAUAAAUCAAAUACUAGCAAAUAUAAUUCCUGCCAAAUUAAUCACUAUACAAAGCAUUGCAAGAGCUAAUCUAGCAAUGAGAGUUGAAAGGACAAAGUUGCUAACCUUUGUGAUCAUUUGAAUGAAUGGGGGCCUUCAAAUCUUGACAAAUUUUGGGUAAAAUUUGUGAGGAGCUCGAGGGGAAAGGGAAAGAACAGAGGAUAAGUUAGGGGAAAGGGGAAGAACAGAGUGGCUCGGGUGGACGAAGGGUUUAUGUACGUCGACCUUUAGUACCGGUUCGUGCCACGAACCGGUACUAAAGGUGCUGGACGGGCCCCAGACUGACAACACCCUGCCACCACCCUCAUUAGUACCGGUUCGUGGCACGAACCGGUACUAAAGGUUCGCCACGAAGCGGUACUAAUGAGAACGGCCGGCUAGCCGUUGGAACCGGCACUAAUGGACACAUUAGUGCCGGCUCAAAACCAAACCGGCACUAAUGUGUCUCAUAUUAGGUGCUUUUUCUACUAGUGUUCCCUCGCGGGGAACCAUUACGUUCCUUUCGUUCACGAAUCAAACGCUGGAAUCGGUGCUAGGUACGGGACCGGCCCGUGACGUUCUACUUAAUUCCACGAACUGAACACACCCUUACUAGACUCGGUAAAGAAACAAUGGUAAUGUUACCCAACUGGCAUUACCUGAGACAGCGGUGGCAAGCCUACGUCAUUUUGAUGGCAUUUUUAUUUGUAAAGAGAGAUCAAAUGACUAAAGUUUUAAAGCGAGAAAUGCCUUCUAUGGAGAAACUACCAUGUCGUUGCCAUCAGAUUCUCAAAAAUGUUGUCAAACCUAAGUGCAUCCAUAGCCGGGCGCCCCAAACCGGCCUCAAACACCCGGGAGGUCUGCCCGGUCACUGACCGGGCAUGAAAAUCUAAUCCAGGCAGUUGCCUCAAACGGGCUUUUAAAUGCCUGGGUUGACCGGCACUACUAAUAUCCAGCCCAAGUAUGGGGCGGAUAUGGGGCGCCCAGGCGCGCUGGCACUGACGACGGGGUCCCACGUGGAAACACCAGGAAACCUGUCGGUUCGAAGCUCAUCUCCUCCGCGGGACUGCUGUUGCUGUGUGGCGCUGCUCCGGCGGGCCGCGUAGUGCCUAGCCGACUAUUUAAGUCGACCGCCGGCACCGAAACCCUACCAUCCACAUUUUCCUCCGCCUGCCCGCUGCUGCCGCCACUUUCCACUCCCCGUCCGCCUAGUAGCCAUGUUCCCACGCCGCUGAGUGAGGAGCUAGCCAUUAAUAAGGCCGGAGCGUCGGCUCGAGCUCCUUGAGCAGAUUCAGGCAAGGAGAAGCCCUGAUCUGGGGGGGUGGGGGGUACCUUCGGAUGCGGUAGAUCCGGAGGAGUUGGAGGAUGAGGAGGAGGAUGUGGGGGACGUUGACGACGCGAACCUGCAGGCGGAGCAGCAGACCAUCCUCGACUCCCUCCGCUCGGGGUCGGUUGCGAAGGCCAGACGCCGUCACCGGCAGGAGGUGGAGUCCGCGGAGGAGGCGGAGAUGCUCGCCUAUAUGGAUGAGGUCGAGCAGGAGGAGGAUGAGCUGGAGCCCCCUACGCGCUUGUCUAGCCGGUGCCCGGCACCGACGUAUUGGACAUCUCCGACGGCGAAUAUUAGCUAGCUAGGGCAGUACGUAGUAUGUAGCAUCUAGAAUUUAUUUUGCAUGCUUUGUAUGGAUUUAGGGAUUGAAAUAAGAGAGACUCAGAUGCAGAGUGAUUAAUUUGAAGCGUGACCGGAGCGUCCAGAAACAAAGACCGACGAGGCGACGACCUCACCAACUCUCAGAGAGAUUAAAAAUAUCCUUCCAAAGACCUCCCUCACUCACUCACCAACGCUCCCCCACAUCUGCUCUGCCGCCGCCGGAGAAGACAGACACACCUGCUCUGCCUCCUGCGGUUCUGCUUCUGCUGCGCGCGCGGUGGCGGGGGAGGAUCUGCCAUUUCCUGCGGGCUGCGGCGGCGCGACAGAGCUCGGAGGAGCUCUGCUGUUGUGCACGGAGGCGACGAGGAGCUCAAAUGCCGCCCCCGUAGGCGACGCGCCGGAGUAUGGGAGGUGGAGCCGAGCUUCUGCCAGAUCGAUCUUCUCCUCCGUCGCCGUCCGCGGCAAAGCUGCAUCGGAGGUCUUCACUCACCAUGAUUGAGCAGGGGUGCUCUCUCUUCAGAUCUGAGUGGUGAACAGUGCAUCUCAAAAGGUUUGUUUUUUCUUUCUUUCUUUCUUGUUCCUCCUUCCUUGAGUAAUUAAUUGGAAAGGGGAUUAUAUUAGCGAGACUGCUACCUCAUUCUUGUAGCUAUAAUGCAGCUAACUGCUGAAAAAAAUAUGUGGCAUGUAAAUCUGAUUGAUGAAAAAUAAUGUUUGGCCAUCAGAAGCUUGUUUGUUUGUCUCAAAUCUUAAGCUAUAUGCACAUGUUUACAUGUGCACAUAAUAAGAUUAGCGCGUCAGGGUAAGUUUCCAGCAGUUCAAUAGUAAAUGUAACUGAAAAUUGAACUGCUGUAUAUUUCUUCAGUUGGUGAGGCAGUUCAACAUUGAACUGCUGUAGUCCUUGCACGCUACUUCAACUUCUUCCUCCUUUUUACUUGAAUUUCACCUCGUUUUUUCCUCUACAUUUCUUCACCAUGAUUGAGCUGCUUUCUCUCCAGAUCCGAAUGAAACAGAAACAGAUCUAACUGAAACAGGGCAUCCAUCCAUCUCAAAGUUUUAUUUAUUUGUUUUUUAACCCUUUUUCUUGUCCCCCCCUUCACUAAUUGCAAAGCAGAUUAUUGACUGCUAGCUGAUUAUUCUACUUGUUGUAUUGUUAUUGGUGAGCGCAUCCCGUUUGAAAUUCUUAAGCUAUGUGCAGAUGAGUUGACGGGCAAUUCAGGGAAGCGUUAAGAUUAAAGCGUGAGGGUCUGUCUUCGGUACAUAAGGUUAAACCGUUAAAGCGUCAGGGUAAGGUGUCCAAUUGUAAAAUUUAACUGUAGAUUAAACUGCUAUAUAUUUCUUCGGUUGUUGAGGCAGUUCAAGAUUAGUUUGUGUCCUUCCACAGUUACACCUAGCUAAUUAAGCUUCUUGCUCGUUCUUCUUGAAUUUCACCUCACUUUUACUAUUGCAGCUAUAUACAGCCAGCAAGUGCAAUGGCAAUGGUGCUGGAUGCAUUCGCGUCCUACGUGGGCCACAUGCUCGCGCAGCUAGCAGCAGAUGGUGUGGGGACGAUGCUGGGCGUCUCCGGCGAGAUCGACAAGAUGGCCGACAAGCUCCGGGACCUCAAAAACUUCUUGGCUGAUGCCGACAGGAGGAACAUCACCGAUGAGACCGUUCAAGAGUGGGUGGGGCAGCUCAAGCGUGCCAUGUAUGAAGCUACCGACAUCCUCGACCUCUGUCAGCUCAAGGCCAUGGAGCGUGGAUCAUCUACUACUCCAGACGCAGGGUGUUUCAACCCAUUGCUCUUCUGCAUGCGGAAUCCCUCCCAUGCUCAUGAGAUCGGCACCCGCAUCAAAAAGCUCAACAAGAGGCUUGACUACAUCAAGGAGCGAAGUGCUGCUUUCAACUUCAUCAAUCUCGGGUCCUACGAGGAUCAUAACAACAAUGCCCAUGGCUUUCGCCAUGGUAAUCCAAGUCGGGAGACGGUAGGGGACUUUGACCGGUCGGCUGUGGUUGGGGACAAGAUUGAAGAAGACACAAGAGCACUGGUGGCCCAGAUCACGCAGACGGGAAAGGAUGUCAAGAAUGACAUCAUGGUGGUUGCCAUCGUAGGUGUCGGCGGGAUCGGCAAGACCACCCUCGCCCAGAAGGUCUUCAAUGACGAGGCAAUCCAAGGUGAAUUCAGCAAAAAGAUAUGGUUGAGUGUCAACCAAAACUUUAGUGAGGUUGAGCUGCUGCGAAGAGCCAUCAUCGGUGCUGGUGGAAGCUCCCAUUUGGCUGGAAAUGCAAAGGAUGCGCUUCACCGAGCCCUAAUGCAGGCCUUGAAGGACCACAAGACAUUGCUGGUAAUGGAUGAUGUGUGGGACAAUGGAGCGUGGGAGCGUGUGCUCAAAAUACCCUUAGCCAAUGCUGCUGCUUCAGGCAGCCGUGUCCUCAUCACAACUAGAGAUGAAAGUGUUGCCCAAGGGGUGACAGCUAUAUGGCCCUACCACCACGUCGACACAUUAGCGCCUGAUGAUGCUUGGUCAUUGCUCAAGAAGCAGGUCCGUACUUAAACGCUAACCUCUUUCAUUGUCUCCAUUUACUUAUUAACAGUACUAUGUAAUUCGUGUACUACCUCUUGGAGGUAAUAUGUUGCCAAUAAUUUUGUAGGGCAAUAUUACUUUGCUAGUGUCGACAAAGCAUAGUGCUGAACAAGGAAAUAUGCCACAUCACUAAUUGAGACACAUUCAGAUAAUUAUAUAUGUAUUGUUCCUAGAAUUUUUUUAGUUGAGCUUGCAUAAUAGUUAGAAAUUCGGAUAAUUAUACAUGUAUUGUUUUUACCAGUGAAUACAUAUGGGUGGUAUAUUCUUGUAGUGAGUAACCUUUUGCGAAUACCCAAUCUCGUAUUCCAGCUUACGGUUGAAGAUCUAAGUGCUCAGCUACUCAACAGAGUCAUAGGACACAAUAUAAAUGGAAGUUAUUUUGAGAUGAAAAAAACAACAUUUUCUUUCAGCCCCUGCUGAUACAACAAAAUAAUAUAAUUUCCCGUGCAAAUUUUAGUCAUGAAUGUUUGGCCUAGAUUUAUGCACUUUAGGUGAUUGAGAGAUAAGAUAAUUUCAUGUGACCGUAAAAUACGAUUACUAAUAAACUAAUACAUGAUUUCCGCUACAUCGGAGUACAACUUUCUAUGACAGUGAUGAGAGAGUAGUGCAAAAGUAAAAGCAAAAGGAAAGAAAAAAUGUUUUCUAGGUAUAAAGUAUGUAUGUUAUAUGUGGAAGCCAUUGGACAAAUCUUCGGCAUGUAGGAGCAAGAUUAGUAAAUACAUUUAAUCACAUUUCUUUUUCACAUGUACUUUCUGUACUUUGAGCAUUUACAGUCAAUCUAGUCCUCUUGUCUCUUAGGAGGUAAAACUGAGUUCAUAGUCAAUCUUGGCACACAGUUAAUUAAGUUUAUCGAUCCCUUCAACAGGUACUUUCAAAUGAGAUAGAUGAAGACCAUAUCAGUACGCUAAAGGAUAUCGGAUUGAAACUUAUAAAAAAAUGCGGUUGCUUACCACUUGCUGUUAAAGUAAUGGGAGGACUCUUGCGUCAAACAGGGGGGCUACGUCGUGACUGGGAGCAGGUUUUGGAUGAUUCUAACUGGUCAAUAACAAAAAUGCCCCAAGAGCUCAACCACACAGUAUACUUAAGCUAUGAAUAUAUGCCUUCUUAUCUGAAGCAGUGCUUUCUAUUCUACUCUCUUCUUCCAAAAAGUAGAAUUUUUAAUCUGGAUCAAGUUGUUGCAAUGUGGAUUAGUGAAGGAUUUAUUCAUGGAAAUUCUAUUGAUUUGGAAGAAUUGGGAGAAAAUUACUACAAGGAGUUGGUAUCUAGGAACCUGAUAGAGCCAAAUAAAUCGUAUGCUGAUUUAUGGGUUUGCAGUAUGCAUGAUGUUGUUCGCUCAUUUGCUCAGUAUAUGACUAAAGAUGAAGCACUCGUGGCUCAAGAUGGAGACAAUGAUAUUCUUGCUAAACUUAGUAUACAAAACUUUCUUCGGUUGUCCAUAGAAACUAACCAAUCACAAUCAGGUGAACUUAAUUGGAAAUGUCCACAGGCACAACAAUCAGUGAGAACAUUGAUCUCAACUAUCAAGAUUAAGAUGAAGCCCAGUGAUUCAUUGGCUACUUUUUCUAGUUUGCGGACUCUACAUAUGGAAUCUGCAGAUAUAGCUGUAUUGCUUGAAUCAUUGCAUCAACUCAGGCACUUGAGGUAUCUAACACUAGUAAAUGCUAGUAUGUAUGUACUUCCAGGGAACAUUGGCAAGAUGAAACUACUGCAAUUCCUUGACCUUGGUGGAUGUACAAAAUUGGUGAAUCUUCCUGAUAGCAUUGUGAAGCUUGACCAGCUGAGAUUACUUUCACUUCCCAAAGCAAGUAUGGUGCCUAGAGGGUUCAAUGGUCUGACAAAUAUGAGGAAACUAAGUAUGUUUCGAGCGCACAUGGAUGGUGAUUGGUGCAGUUUGGAUGAGUUGGGGCCUCUUUACCAACUCAGAGUUCUUGUAUUAACUGAACUAGAGAAUGUAACUGCUGCCUCAUUUGCUGCUAAUGCUCGGCUCGACGAAAAGAUGCAUCUUAUCAGGCUAUUCUUGUACUACACAAGUAAACUGGGAGAUGAUGGGUUGGUCAAAGAGAAGGAAGGUGUCUCUGAGGAAGAGCAGCAACGAAUUGAGAAGGUUCUCGAUAAGCUCUGCCCUCCAUCUACUAUAGAAGUUCUUGAACUCACGGGAUAUUUUGGCCGACAACUCCCGAGCUGGAUGAUGUCCACAUCAAUGGUGCCCCUCAACAACUUGAAGACUUUAUUGAUUGAUGACCUGGCUUGUUGCACACAACUUCCCAAUGGGUUGUGCCAGCUGCCCAAUCUGCAGGUCCUACAGGUCCGCCGUGCUCCAUGCAUCAAGCAUGUGGGGACUGGAUUCUUGCAGGCGGCAGCAACUUCAUUUCCGAGGUUAAAUAAAAUGCUCUUGGACGGAAUGGUGGAAUGGGAGGAGUGGGAGUGGGAGGAGCAAGUACAAGCCAUGUGCCGUUUGGAGAAACUUGUGCUCAGUAGGUGCAGACUGAGGCAUGUUCCUCUAGGCCUUGCCUCCAAUGCAAGAUCUUUGAAAAUAUUACAUCUACGACUUGUCGAGCACCUCAGCUACAUUGAGAGCUUUCCUUCUGUUGUUGAGCUUAAAGUGAAUGGAUGCCCUGACCUGGAGAGGAUCACCAAUCUCCCUAAUCUACAGAAGCUUACAAUCGAGAAUUGCCCAAAGUUGAAGGUGUUGGAGUGUAUCACUUCACUCGAGAGGAUGGUCCUGGAGGAUUACACCAUGGAAAAUCUCCCAGAAUACAUGCGAGACAUAAAGCCAAGGCAUUUGCAGUUAUUCUGUAGGCUAUGGUUGCUCUGUGCGGUAGCCGCGGGACAAUCUGGCACUGAGUGGGACAAGUUCAGUCAAGUGGAGCAUGUCAAGGCAUAUGCACGUGAUGGAGACAACGAAAGAAAAUGGUACCUUCUGUACAAGAGAGGUGACAACUACAAGCUGGAUUCAAAUAUUAGCAGCUCUGCCAUAUUAGAAGGUACAGAAAAUCAAACAUACGUACAAGCUUUGUCUUGAUUUGUUUGAGCACUCUUUCUGCCAGUUUAUAAAUUCUUUUUGAUUUUAUCUCCUGCUUUUCGUCCAUACAUAGUGCAUGACGACCCGAUAUAUUAUGUACCUUCCUAGUAUCAUGUAACCAUUUUGUAAUUUUCUUGCCAUGCAGAAACCUUAUCAUCUUGUAUGGUGGACCCACAAGGAUUUGAGUCUGUGUACAAAAUGAGAAGAAGCACCUUCAGUUACGUCUGCAGUUUGGUGAGGGUGCCAUUUUUUGAAAGUAUGAUGGCAAGGGACCACACCUUUGUAGAUGGGAGAGUGUUGUCUUUACAAGAUGGAGUAGCCGUCGCUGUGAGGAUGCUGAGCUCUGGUGAACCACCGGUGGUCAUAGGAUCCUCUCUUGGUGUCAACGAGUCCACUGUCUCGCUGGUAACUCAGAGGUUUAUUGAGGCUAUUCGGGAGCGAGCGUUCCGCCAUUUGGAGUGGCCAUACCAUUUCCAAGCAAUGGAGAAGAUCAAGUGCAGGUUUGACAAGAUCCACGGCUUGCCAAAUUGUUGCGGUGUUGUACAUAGAGCUUACUUUAAAUUUGGAUCACCAAACCUUGGCCAUGAGGAGAACGCUGACACACUAAUGCAAGCCGUCGUUGAUCCAGAUAUGAGGUUCACAAAUAUUUGGUUUGGAGCAUCAAGUAGCAUGAACCAGUCAAGUCUUUUGCACGACUCUUGGCUCUUCAAGUCCUGCGAGAAAGGUACUUUGUUGGAUGGUAGCAAGCUGAAGGUAUCAGAUGGCUCAGAGAUUGGGGAAUACAUCAUUGGUGAUGCAGGAUACCCUCCUCGUCCAUGGCUCCUCACACCUUAUCGGUUGGAGGAGGAUAUCUCAAACUCGAAAGUGGAGUUCAACAGGAGACACUCUGUAGCUACAACCAUGGCACUGAGGGCACUGGAAAGGUUGAAAGACACGUGGAAGUGUCUACAGGGAGAAGGCUGGCGUCCUAAUAAUCAAUAUGAUUUGCGGUGGACAAUCACCACGUGUUGUAGGUUGCAUAACAUAGUGAUAGACAUGGAGGAGGAGGGUGCAGUCAUGCUGAGCAAUCAGGAGGAGAAUUGCAUCGAUCAAGUGAGCCAAUUAUUAGACGAGGAUGCUGUCAAGGUGAGGGAUGUACUGUCCCAGCACUUGGUCGAUUCUAGAGGUAAAAUAACACAGCUCUUGUCUGUUCAUUUUAUUUUUCUUUCCCUCCCGUUGGUUCCAUCUUUCAUCUACUUGGUUAGUCCACACAUUUGCUACAGAGGAGGAACAAGAAGCAUCCGGUCGAAGAGAUGAAAACAAUGAACAAAAAGCACACCAACUACAAACAACGGAUCGUGGGAAAUUAUACACAAACAACAAAUUGACAGCCCAAGAAAAUGGUAUGUGUUAUACACAAGAAGUGGCAACUGCAAGUUAGAUUCAAAUACUAGCCGCUCUAUCUUAUUAUACUUUUGUUUCAUUUUCUCCUGCCUUCCAUCCAUUUAUGCUACUUGAUGACUGAAUAUAUUCCAGAAUUUUUUUGUUUCACAUGAUUACAAGUUGUUUCAGAUGACAUAAAAACAUGGUUGUACUGGGCUUUCAACAUAAAUUUCAUCCACAUCGCUUGAUGUAUGUGUGGGUUGUUUUAUGCGUAGCUACUUUCUGAUUUGGUUGCAUCCCCUCGUCUUUCUUUUUAUGCUAGGUUACCUCGAGUAUGAAAAAUAUGGAGUAAUAUGUUACCUCUUGCAUUGUAAAUUAGAGAUUAUGUAUAAGCAGUUUUAUACUUUUCUUGUCAUGCAGAAACUUUAUCAUCUAAUAUGGUGGGCACACAAGGAUUUGAGUCUCUGUACAAAAUGAAAAAAAGUACCUUUAGUUACAUCUGCAGCUUGGUGAAGGUGCCCCUUUCCGAAGAUAUGAUGGUAGGAGGUCACACCUUUGUUGAUGAGAGAGUGAUGUCUUUCCAUGAUGGAGUAGCCAUUGCUCUGAGAAUGUUGAGCUCCUGUGAGACACCGGAGGUUGUGGGAUCAUCAUUUGGUGUGGAUGGGUCAACGGUUUCGCUGUUAACUCAGAGGUUUGUUAAGGCUAUGGUAGGACGAGCAAGGCACCACAUCAGCUUGCUUGGCUCCGCUCAAGUGGAGAAGAUCAAGCGCAAGUUUGACAAGAUUUAUGGCCUCCCAAACUGCUGCAGUGUUGUACAUACAACUCACAUCAAAUUUGGAUUGCAAAACCAUGAGAAUGAAGAAAAUGAUGGCAUGCUAAUGCAAGCCAUGGUAGAUCCAGAUAUGAGGUUCACAGACAUUUCAUUGCAAUCGCAAGUAAACCUGAACCAGUCAAGCAUGUUGCACAACUCUUAUCUCUUCAAGUGCUGCGAGAGGGGUGCUUGGCUGAAUGGUAGCAAGCUGAAGGUACCAUCAGGUGGAGGAUCGGAAGUCAAGGAAUACAUAAUUGGUGAUGCAGGAUACCCUCUUCGUCCUUGGCUCCUCACUCCUUACCAGUUGGAGAAUGGCCUCUCACUCUCUGGCGCCAAAGUUGAGUUUAACAGGAGACAUUCUGCCGCUACAGCCGUCGCGCUGAGGGCACUGGCAAGGUUAAAGGAGAUAUGGAAGUGCCUGGAGGGAGAAGGGUGGCGUCCAAAUAAUCAACUUGAGGCGUACUGGACAGUCGACACGUGUUGUAUAUUGCAUAACAUAGUGAUAGACAUGGAGGAGGAUAAAGAGGAGGAGGAAAAGGAGGAGAAUUACAUCAAGCAAGUGCGGCAGUUAGCAGAUGAGGACGCCAUCAGGGUGAGGGAUGCACUGUCCCAGCACUUGAUUGAAUGUGGAGGUAAAAUAACACACACAGACACUUUAAUGGCCACAUCUCUAUAUGUUGGAAAGUAUUUUGUUUGUACAUAUUCUGCUAGUUUUACUUCAAGUAUGAAAAAUCUAGAGUAAUAUCUGCAGCUUGUAAAUUAGAGAUUAUGUAACCAAUAUCUUAUAAUGCAGGAACCUUAUCAUCGUCUAUUGUGGAUGCACAAGGGUUUGAAUCUGUGUACAAAAUGAGAAGAAGCACCUUCAGUUAUAUCUGCAGCUUGGUCAAGACCCCAUUUUUGGAAGAUAUGAUGGCAAGGAAUCACACCUUUGCUGACGGGAGAGUGCUGUCUUUGCAGGAUGGAGUAGCCAUCGCUCUGAGAAUCCUGAACUCUGGUGAUUCACCCGUUACCAUAGGAUCCUCUAUUGGUGUAAACGAGUCAACUGCCUCACUAGUAACUCAGAGUUUUGUUAAGGCUAUGUUUGAGCGAGCAUUGCCCCAUUUGCGUUGGUCAUACUCUUCUCAAAAAAUGGAGAAGAUGAAGCGCAAGUUUAACAAGGUCCAUGGCAUGCCCAACUGCUGUGGUGUUGUACAUACAACUCGCAUCACAUUUGGAUCACAAAACCGUGACCAUGAGGAGAAUGAAGGCAUACUCAUGCAAGCCGUCCUUGAUUCUGAUACGAGGUUCAGAGACAUUAGCAUGUGGCCGUCGCAAUUGCAUUUGUCAAGCAUGACGGCUUUGCGCAACUCUGAUAUCUUCAAGCGCUGCGAGAAGGGUACUUGGCUGAAUGGUAGCAAGCUGAAGAUAUCAUCAGGUGGUGGAUCGGCAGUAAGGGAAUACAUAAUUGGUAGUACAGCAUACCCACUUCGUCCUUGGCUCCUCACACCUUACCAGUUGGAGAAUGGCCUCUCACUCUCAGACGCCAAAGUUGAGUUCAACAGGAGGCAUUCUGAAGCUGCAGCCAUCGCGCUGAGGGCACUAGCAAGGUUGAAAGACACAUGGAAGUGCCUAAAUGGAGAAGGGUGGCGUCCAAAUAAUCAACUUGAGGCGUACUGGACAGUUGACACAUGCUGCCUGUUGCAUAACAUAGUGAUAGACAUGGAGGAGGACGGUGUAGGCAUGCCGAGCGAUGAGGAGUAUAAUCGCAUCAAGCAAGUGUGGCAUGUAGCAGAUGAGGAGGAGGAGGGUGUCAGGGCGAGGGAUAUACUGUCCCAGCACUUGGUUGAAUCUGGAGGUAAAUUAUGACAACUCUCAAUGUGUUUGUUCGUAUGCUAGCUUUGUCUAUUUGUUUUUUUGUAAUACCCUGCCGUUGAUUCCAUUUUAAUUUCAUCUGUUUGUUUAGCCCACACAAUGGCUGCAGAGGAGGAAUAAGAAGCAGUAGUAGCUGCAUCCCGUUCAGGAGAUAAAAACAAGGAACAGGAGGUGCACCGAGCACAACCAGCGGAUCGAGGGAAGGAGAAAGUGCAUGGUAGUUAGCUAAGGAGAUGAGAUCGGACCGCCCUCUGCACUGAAUCAAUUUGGUACUAUUGUUUUUCCCUCUGUUAUCAGUCGUGCUUCAAGUCGCAGUCCUCUUCUUAGUUUCCAUAUUAAUUUAGUGUCAGUUAAAUUAAUUUAGUGUAUGUUGGAAGCACUAUUAUAUCCCUUGAUGAUAGGUUAAACGUACUUGGAAAGAAACUAAGCUGAUCUCAUCUACUUUAAAUCUUGGUAGGAGCAGCCUUGGAGAACUUCAUCCUGCUGCUUGGUUACAACUUGGUCCCAUUUGAAGCGGGACUAGUGCCUGCACGACGUCCUAGCCGCUCGAUCCGGGACUAAUGCUUACAUUAGUCUUGGUUCGUAACGCAACCAAGAUUAAAGCUUUUUUCCGGCCUCAACCAAAGCCCUGUUUUCUACUAGUGUCUAUCAGGGAGCUAAUCCUCACUAGACGAUCUGAUCGAUAGAUCAGGACGUGCGGUUAGUACCACUGAUGUGAAAAUUUACAAAUAAAUAAAGGGUAAUUACCAAGAAUCUUUGUACAGAGGGAAAAAGGAAAGAGAAGAAGAUAAAGCAGCUGCCCGAAGGUGAUUGGUGUUCAUUUAUAAUACGGGAAGCUUGAAUGAAAAUAUUGAGCGAAAGGCUAUUUUGCUGAGAAAAAUAAAUAAGUAACUGGUAGAAUACCGACAUGGCAAGCACACACCACAGGAAAACAGAACGGCUGAGAAGUUAACACUCCUCACCUUUUUCCCGAUUUGUGAUAGGACUAACCCAUCUUAAGCUAGGUAGCAUACUACCAACUAAAAAAAUCAUACGCAGAAGCACAAGUUUACACAUCUACUAUGUGUGUACUACUACAUGUCUCAGUUUGUGAAUACAUAUAGCCCUAUAAAGGCACUCUCUAGAGUGUAUGUGCGUAUGUAUGAGCAUUUGCGUGUGUACUAUUUUCAAAAGGUACCCUCAAAUUUUUCAUCUUGGUUGCUCGUAUACAGACAAAUUGUGGCCAGUGAUAUAUAAAAAAUUAUUCAGGUUUUGCAAUGCAAAAAAUAAAACUGAUAAGUUUGUUUGAUAUGGGAUAAGAUGAGAUUGUGCCGAAAAGUAUCUUAUUUCACAAAAAAAAAAUCUAUCCUCAAACAUGGUAACAAUUUUUUUUUUGCCAAUACUAAUUUCAAUGUUAGGACAAAAAGACAUAAAUGCAUUGCCGAGGUUGAAAGUAUAUUGCUCACAACAAUAAAUUUUACAUAGAUAAAAUUUGUGAGGCACUUGGUUCGUUUUCAUGGAAAUAUAAUUAUUUCUUCAUCAAAUUAGUCUACUCUAUUUUUGUUUGAUUUCCCAACUUAUCUACAAAUUUGUUAUCCAAUGUAAAGACAUCAAUUAUUUACUAGUUAAAAGUGAUAUUAGAUUGCUUACUGAUGAGAAUUCAAAUUAAACAUGGCAGUCGCUAAUCUGUGCAUUCACACGGGCUAGAUUCAUAUAUUUUUUCUGUCACUUGCUAAAAUUUGAUGUUCAUGAGAGAGAGAGAGAGAGAGAGAGAGAGAGAGAGAGAGAGAGAGAGAGAGAGAUGUUUCCUAUUACCGGGUGUAGUUACUCCUAUUUUUGUUUUGUAUAUUUUAGGUAAUAUCUAUCAUACCGGAGUAUAUGUAUGUGUAGUAUGUCGUAUGUAAGAGUGUUUAGGUAGUACUCCCUCCGUUCCUUUAUAUAAGGUGUAUUUGUUUUUUGAUAAAAUUUCAGAAUGUAAGGUGCAUUUCUUCUAGUUCCUCAUAAUUCCCUUGUUAGCCCUCAAGAAAAAAGGAAAGUAUCUCUCUCCUGAUUGUCUGUAUCUUUCCUUGUAGCAAAAGAAGGAAAGUAUUUCUUUGUCGAUUGCAUGUAUCUUUUAGUUUCCUAGACUAACUGAUUUACUUGCCACUAACCAACAAAUUUGCCAAGGGUAAUUUUGUCCUAUCAUGUUUAUAAUUAUGUGCCUUGGUCACCGUGCCGAAAAUAAUACACCUUACAUAAAGGAACGGAGGGAGUAUAUAUAAUAUUUUUAGGUAAUAUGUAUUAUAUUUUGAGCAUACUCCUUUAGGUAAUAUGUGUUAUAUUUUAGGUAAUAACCCGCUUUGGAGUAUCUUAGAUAUAGUAUAUGAACAUACAUACAAUAAUAAGGUAGUAUAUAUACUAUCACAUGGUAGUAUACUAGCAUAGCCCGCGCGGCGGCACGCCGCGUCCGAUGAUGCAUUGUAUUUAUACGGAUCAUAAAGACCAUUGUUAUAUUUUUAAUGAUAGAAUCGUACAUGACUAAAACCCAAAAAGAGUAAUGAAAGAUGAAAAAAGAGUACAUUUAUUGCAGCCAUGUAUGAUAAAUAUUGAUGAACGGAAGGGUAUUACUAAUAAGGUCUACUUAUUGGCACCAUAUACAUCCCAUUCUAUGGAACGUAUCAUAUAGGAUGAUGCAACCGCAUGAAAGUAAAUGAUUGCAGACGGCCCUAGUUCUGUUAAAUCAUCCUAGUGUAACCCCAUUUAGGAUAGUGCUUGUAAUGAAGUGGUAGAUAGCUUUUGCAAAUUCCUGUAUCUGUCCAAACGGCGUCUUUGCUCCUGUGUAUAUCAUUAUGGUGAACUAUGCACUUGAAUAUAAAUUAAUACUACAUAAUUAUCUAAAGCUCGUUAUAAACUAUCAUAAGAUGAUAGAUUUUUUUUUGAACGGAAGAUGACUGAACUCGAAAUGAGAUUUGGAACACCAAAUUGACCAACACCAGAGAUAGAACUUCCAGAAAUAUUCUCUCUCAUAUCACCAACAUCAUCAACAGCAAGCAUGUCUACAAAAUAUAAAGAAGGAUGAGCAACACAGAACAAAUACAAAAAAUAAUCCUAAAAUAUACCAGACAUCUUUUUUUUUUGCUUCUCACUAAUGAAACUCACCCUUAAUAACAUUAAACAAACAUCGUCUAAAUCUAUAUAUUCUUUUGAAAGAAUGAAAACCAGCAACAAGUAAACGUCACUAAAGCGUGGUCAUGCUUUUUUUUAGCUCAUGAACGCUGGGACCGUGUGACCACGUCCACAUGUAACUCUCGAGAACAGUUCAGUCUGAAUUCUGAACAUAAGAUUUUGUCCAUUUGUAUACACUACGCACUAACAAAGAUCAUAUUGAAAAGCAAAGGCUCGCCUAAAAGUGUCGCUGCUUCUUGAACACACACGCAUUGUUUAGAGAGUACUAUCAAUGGAGCACGCCCGUCAUGUAAUUCUUGAAGAACUAUUCAGUCUAUAAUCUGAACAGGAGCCCUUCUGCAUUUGUUAUACACCACACAAUGACUGCUGUUGAAAAAUAAAGAGUUGGCUACCCUAAAAUUGCAAGUGAAUUUAGGUGGAAAUGUCGUACUUGGUGCGCCAGAUGGGAGUAGGGGUCCAGUGCCGCACGGCAGGGCUAAACAGGAUGGACACCACGCGCGAGCGGAGCAUGCACAGCUCGAUGAUCGGCGGGAACGUCAAGCACCAGGGCACCUUGUAUUGGUUGAUGGAGGUGCCAUGAGAGAUAGCAUAGUCCAUCAGCUCCUCGGACGUGCCGGUCCGGACGACGCGGAUCUUGAGCAGCCCGAUGAAGCCGUCCGCCACUCUACCAUGCAUGCACACCGUAUUCAGUCCCUCAUCCAUCUCAAGCGUCGAUGGUCUCCUUGUCCACCGUCCAGCCGACGCUGGCACCGACCGUCUCCUAGUAGAUGAAGUAGUGCCCGGGGAUGCUCUUUGUGCUGGUGUACUGUGUAUAACGCCAUGGACGCGCCAUGGGGGGAGCCUCGCGACUGCACGGCAAGGAGAGCCAUCCACAAAGCAAAUGCUAUCGCUACGGAUAGAAAGACAUGAAAGGCAACACACAAAGAAGAGGCACCUCGACUGCUGCCGCCAUUAUCCCUACAUGCCUCCCAUCUACAUCUCUCUGUGUAAAUCCUCAUAUGCAGCUCGACGUGCUUGUGGCGCCGUUGCGAUACCGCCGCAGCCGUUGCUCUUUUCCUCGAGCAUCAGCAGGGGUAAUGUGUGUGUGGCCGGCGACACGCUUUACUUCAUCGGACCUGGUGUGUAGGGCGCAUGCAUGCAUCAUGUUGGAGGACGUCGUGUCCCGUGUCUGCGACCCGUAACCAUCCACCAUCGACUCGGGCAGCCGCGCCGCCGCAUGUCCUUUCAGGCACGCGCGUGCAAGGUCGCGGCGCUAUACGGCCUCGUCCAGCCGCUGGUCCGCGUCACCGCGCGGAGCUCUGCCCGUCGCCUCAUCCAGCUGCACGUCGGCGUCGCGCGCCGCGCCCCUGCACGUGCUCUAGCGGCAGCACCCCAUGCAGUGCCUCAUAGCAUGCACCAGUCAAGCUGCCUUGCCGCACCACCUUGCUGCAGGCAGUCGCUGCUUCUCCUGCCUGGUUCCUACCCGCCGGCUAAGGCAAGAACCAUCUACAUAAGCCGCGUCUAGAAACAACAAUUAAAGCGGCACCACCAGUAGAAUAACGUGGGCAGGUCACAUGCACAUCGCAAUCAACUGGUCCACCGCCCGCAUGCUGCUCCGAUUACAGUGCGUGCAUGCGGUCGCUGGCUCGCCCAUGUUCCUUUGCCGUCUUAUAAUUGGACCAUCACUGGUCACCGCUUCACCCAGUUGCUAUUGGUCAGAGAAAGGGACAGAUCGACCGGAGAAGCACCGAAGAAGGAAAGGUGUCAGGCCACAAAUCCCAACGUGACAACGACAACAGUUGAACACACCACCCUGCCCCACAUUGGAUGAAAAAACGCUAAACCCACCAAAAAAACA
rnacentral:lncRNA from 1 species